AACGCGCGUUAUGCCUCCAUGCACACGCGGGCACCAGUGUGCGAUACAAGACUCCCUCGAGGACCCUGCAAUCUGCUGUAUCUUCCUCUUUCCGCUGGCCGCCGCGGUUGAUCACACGACAGCAAAGGGUGACGGCCCGAGCACCCUUGUGUGAAGGGAGUGUUGCCCUCUCAGACAGAGGAGGCUACUGAAACCAGCUUUUCCACUUCACAUGGCAAGAAUGGCAACAUGAGCUAACUGGAGAAGUAAUCCUGAAGAAGUACCUCUGAGAAGUAAUCAAAACCAAUGACAUAUCCCUAUGAGUCCACUGAUUAUUCAUCUAA